AGCCCUUUGGUGCAGUGGUAAGCAUAUUGGACUUCUAAUCCAAACGUCGCGGGUUCGAAUCCUGCAAGAGCUC